UAAUCACAGGACAGGUAAAAAGAAUUCCAUUGAAGGAAAAGCUACUAUACCUCAUAAAAACGUUCCUGCAAAGUUGAAAGUAAAAUAUAAUACCAUGCUACUUUCGGACAACUAUUGGAUAUUGGAUACUGAUUACGAUGAAUAUUCUGUGGUCUACUCAUGCCGUAGCGUACUACGUCUUUUCAAAGCAGAAUUUCUAUGGAUUCUAUCUCGAGAAACAGCUUUAGAAGAAACUGCAAAGGAGAACAUAUAUAAAUUAUUGGAUGACAGCACUAUUGAUCGCAAAACUUU